AUUGAACGCUGGCGGCAGGCCUAACACAUGCAAGUCGAGCGGUAACAUAGGGAGCUUGCUCCCGGGUGACGAGCGGCGGACGGGAGAGUAAUGUCUGGGAAACUGCAUGAUGGAGGGGGAUAACUACUGGAAACGGUAGCUAAUACCGCAUAAAGUCGUAAGACCAAAGGGGGGGACCUUCGGGCCUCGUGCCAUCAGAUGUGCCCAGAUGGGAUGAGCUAGUAGGUGGGGUAAUGGCUCACCUAGGCGACGAUCCCUGGCUGGUCUGAGAGGAUGACCAGCCACACUGGAACUGAGACACGGUCCAGACUCCUACGGGAGGCAGCAGUGGGGAAUAUUGCACAAUGGGCGCAAGCCUGAUGUAGCCAUGCCGCGUGUAUGAAGAAGGCCUUCGGGUUGUAAAGUACUUUCAGCGGGGAGGAAGGUGUUGAGGUUAAUAACCUCAGCAAUUGACGCUACCCGCAGAAGAAGCACCGGCUAACUCCGUGCCAGCCGCCGCGGUAA
rnacentral:rRNA from 1 species